rnacentral:tRNA from 1 species
CAGGGAGACAACAAAAUGUUUAAUAUUAUUAUUUUGUCACCUUAGGUCGAUCGGUAUCUCACGUUUUUAAUUUAUUAAAAAUUUCAUUUCCUAAGUUUUUCUAGGUCACACCCAUUAUUUUUCCUGGGCCAUUAGCUCAGGUGGUUAGAGCGCACCCCUGAUAAGGGUGAGGUCCCUGGUUCAAGUCCAGGAUGGCCCAUAUCUCUAUGUUGGGGGUAUAGCUCAGUUGGUAGAGCGCCUGCUUUGCAAGCAGGAUGUCAGCGGUUCGAGUCCGCUUACCUCCACUGAUUACCACCUCUUCCAUAAUCUGUAGAAAGGAAAUUUUUGAGUUGUGAUCAAAUUCUGAAAGAAUCUAGCUUCCUAAUGAAAUCAUUAAGAUGCUGGACUCAUUGAAUUAAUUUCAUUGUUUUCAGAGAACCUUGACAACUGCAUAGAUUAUUUUUAAAGACAAUAAGCAUCUUUAAUGAUGCAGAUUUAUUAUUUGUGCGAAUGCAUUAAUAACAAUUCUAUUAAGCUGAUGCUUCAAUAUUGAAGUUAUU